UAAUACCGGAUGUGUCAUCGGACCGCAUGGUCCGCUGAUGAAAGGCGCUCCGGCGUCGCCCAUGGAUGGCUUUGCGGUGCAUUAGCUAGUUGGUGGGGUAACGGCCCACCAAGGCGACGAUGCAUAGCCGACCUGAGAGGGUGAUCGGCCACACUGGGACUGAGACACGGCCCAGACUCCUACGGGAGGCAGCAGUAGGGAAUCUUCCACAAUGGACGAAAGUCUGAUGGAGCAACGCCGCGUGAACGAUGAAGGCUUUCGGGUCGUAAAGUUCUGUUGUAAGGGAAGAACAAGUGCCGCAGGCAAUGGCGGCACCUUGACGGUACCUUGCGAGAAAGCCACGGCUAACUACGUGCCAGCAGCCGCGGUAAUACGUACGUGGCAAGCGUUGUCCGGAAUUAUUGGGCGUAAAGCGCGCGCAGGCGGCCUCUUAAGUCUGAUGUGAAAGCCCCCGGCUCAACCGGGGAGGGCCAUUGCAAACUGGGAGGCUUGAGUAUAGCAGAGAACAGUGGAAUUCCACGUGUAGCGGCGAACUGCGUACAGAUGUGGAGGAACACCAGCGGCGAAGGCGACUCCUUGGCCUAUAACUGACGCUGACGCGCGAAAGCGUGGGGAGCAACAGGAUUACACA
rnacentral:rRNA from 1 species